ACGUAGGUGGCAAGCGUUAUCCGGAAUCAUUGGGCGUAAAGGGUGCGUAGGUGGCGUACUAAGUCUGUAGUAAAAGGCAAUGGCUCAACCAUUGUAAGCUAUGGAAACUGGUAUGCUAGAGUGCAGAAGAGGGCGAUGGAAUUCCAUGUGUAGCGGUAAAAUGCGUAGAUAUAUGGAGGAACACCAGUGGCGAAGGCGGUCGCCUGGUCUGUAACUGACACUGAGGCACGAAAGCGUGGGGAGCAAAUAG
rnacentral:rRNA from 1 species